CCCGCUGAACUUAAGCAUAUCAGUAAGCGGAGGAAAAGAAACUAACAAGGAUUCCCUCAGUAACGGCGAGUGAACCGGGAAGAGCUCAAAUUUGGAAUCUGGCACCCAUCGCGGGUGUCCGAGUUGUCAUUGAGAGGGUCAUCUUGUGCCGACCGGAAACGUUCAAGUCCCUUGGAAUAGGGCGCCUGAGAGGGUGAUAGCCCCGUUCAGACGUUUCUCAUACACACGGAAGGCGAGUACCAAGGUGGCCCAACGAGUCGGAUAGUUUGGGAAUGCUGUCCUAAAUGGGUGAUACAUGUCAUCUAAAGCUAAAUAUGAGCAAGAGACCGAUAGCAAACAAGUACCGUGAGGGAAAGAUGAAAAGGACUUUGAAAAGAGAGUCAAAAGUACGUGAAAUUGUUAUAAGGGAAACGAUUCAUUCUGCGACAGGACAGAGUACUCCAGGGUGGUAGCAGCCAGUCAAAUGGUUGUGUGCGCCUGUAUGGUAUUCUGACCCAGUUGAUCCGUGUGUGGUGCUCUGCAAAUGCUCCAUGGGAAGGUGGCUCCUCUUUGCGGAGGAAGCUUUAUAGACCAAGGAAGGCUGCAGGUGCGCGUAUUGCUCUGCUGCACAUGUCCACGUUUGUGGAGACAGGCACGUGCGUUGAGUGGAUGCUGUGCGUGUCCUUGAGACAUUCACUUCCCACUUGACCACCUCGACAAUGUGCCGCGUCAUCAACGCUGCGGUGUGAACCGACCCGUCUUGAAACACGG
rnacentral:rRNA from 1 species